UGCAACUUUGUAUAAAUAGAGUUAUCUUAGGGUCGAGUCAGUCACCCUGUGCGAGAUGAAGAAAUAGGACACUUUGAAUAAAAUAAUUAUUUUAUUAAUUAUUUAUAUUUUUAAUAUUAUAAUGGAUGCUGAAAGAUUACCUCUGCUUUAUGAAGCGCGAAGGAGACAUACAAGACCGCUCUCAAUCGAGGAAGUACGCAGAACCCAAAACCAACAACCCUGGAGGCGCGCUCAGUACUUCAUUAUCGUAUUUUUCUGGGCGACCAUGGCCACGUUCCUAUCUCUUGUGGUCUGCAUUCUGAUGACCAGCGCUUGUUCUCUAACAGGGAAGGUGCCCAGUGUUCCGCCAGUACAUUUAACGUUUGCACCGCUUUUGUCGCGAACCUUGCAGUAGAUUUUAGUUGUAAAAAAUCUAUGUAGAAAUAUUGUUAUCUAGGGAUAAGUGACUCGAAAUAUAGUUUUAUAUUGUACCUAAU